UUGGAAUUCUCCCUAGAGCUUUGCUAGAGGCUGACUUGGAACCUGUGUGUUGUGUUCCAUCUUAACCUUGUCUUUUCCACCCCAUUCCCACCCAUGCAUGUCUCAGCAUUGAGCUUUGUGAAGAAGAUGACCUGUCAGCAUCAAUGGAGGAGCUGUCCUUCCUGGGUUCUCAGCAACCAUUUCCACCAUCACCAGAAGAAGAUCAGCUGAAUUCCUCUGUCCCUGCGAUUGAGCCUCAAGCAAGAUCUCUGCCUGAUGAAACCACUCCCCUCCUGGCAGCCUGGCCCCAAGAGCUUCCCGGUGGACCACUUCGCCACCUUGUGUCCGAGGAGCAUGGGGACCCAUGCAUCCCUGAAAACCACUGUGUGCAGACACAGCUGUGUCAUGGAGUUGGCAAAGCCACCCUGAGCCUUUCCUCUGGCCCCUGGAGAUUUUCAGCCCACACUGAUCCUGGAGAGCAGUGGCUGCUCUCUCCAGAGCCAAAUUCGGAGGCCUCCGUUGGAUUGAGGAACCCACCUGAGAUGGAGCACGCUGUUCCCCCAGAGUAA
rnacentral:lncRNA from 1 species